GACGAACGCUGGCGGCGUGCUUAACACAUGCAAGUCGAACGCGCCUGUCCUCUGGGUUUCUGGGGGGUGGGUGAGUGGCGAACGGGUGAGUAACACGUGAGUAACCUGCCCCCUUCUUCGGGAUAACGGUCUGAAAGGGCUGCUAAUACCGGGUAUUCACUGGUCUCCGCAUGGGGUCUGGUGGAAAGGUUUUUUUCUGGUGGGGGAUGGGCUCGCGGCCUAUCAGCUUGUUGGUGGGGUGAUGGCCCACCAAGGCUUUGACGGGUAGCCGGCCUGAGAGGGUGACCGGUCACAUUGGGACUGAGAUACGGCCCAGACUCCUACGGGAGGCAGCAGUGGGGAAUAUCGCACAAUGGGCGCAAGCCUGAUGCAGCGACGCCGCGUGAGGGAUGGAGGCCUUCGGGUUGUGAACCUCUUUCGCCCGUGGUCAAGCCGCGACGUGGGUCGUGGUGAGGGUAGUGGGUAAAGAAGCGCCGGCUAACUACGUG
rnacentral:rRNA from 1 species